UACGGAGGGUGCGAGCGUUACCCGGAUUUACUGGGUGUAAAGGGCGUGUAGGCGGUCUCUCAAGUCCGAUGCUAAAGACCGAAGCUCAACUUCGGGGGUGCGUUGGAUACUGUGGGGCUAGACGGUCGGAGGGGGUAGUGGAAUUUCCGGAGUAGCGGUGAAAUGCGCAGAUACCGGAAGGAACGCCAAUAGCGAAGGCAGCUACCUGGACGAUUGGUGACGCUGAGGCGCGAAAGCGUGGGGAGCAAACCGG
rnacentral:rRNA from 1 species